rnacentral:rRNA from 1 species
GGCAACCUGACGGAGCAACGCCGCGUGAGGGAGGAAGGCCUUAGGGUUGUAAACCUCUUUUCUCUGGGAAGAAGAACUGACGGUACCAGAGGAAUAAGCCUCGGCUAACUCCGUGCCAGCAGCCGCGGUAAGACGGAGGAGGCAAGCGUUAUCCGGAAUUAUUGGGCGUAAAGCGUCCGCAGGCGGUUAUUUAAGUCUGCUGUUAAAGCCCACAGCUCAACUGUGGAUCGGCAGUGGAAACUGAAUAACUUGAGAGCGGUAGGGGUAGAGGGAAUUCCCGGUGUAGCGGUGAGAUGCGUACAUAUCGGGAAGAACACCAGUGGCGAAGGCGCUCUACUGGGCCGCGACUGACGCUGAGGGACGAAAGCUAGGGGAGCG